rnacentral:lncRNA from 1 species
CUUGCACUUCACAGAGUUGUAAUUCAUGGUGCUUGUGUGAGGAACUCAGUGGGUAUAUAAAGGAUCUGAAGUGGCCUAGGGCUAGUGGUGACAACUUGCAACAUCAAUAAUGCAUUUGGUCCAGGAACUGCUAAUGAAUGUACAGUGUGGUGAUGGUCUACCACACACACAGUUUCCCUUACAAUUAACAUCUUGCCUUAGGACAGUACCUUUGCUACAACUAAUAAACCAAUGUCUUAAUUGUGAAAUUAUUCUCUCUGACUUCUGCCCCCAAUUCCACACUGCACCUUUGGAAAAAAGUCGCUAGAAGCAGCUGCCACCUAAGGAAUAAGGAGUCAUGCUCCAGCCCCUUGGUGGUAGGGUAUCUGAAUGGAUGAUUCGCGUCAUGUAAUUCUGCAAAGGAGUUUUAUCUCUUCUCGGGCUUGGCAUGUC